AAAGCGAAUAAGGGCGUAUGGUGGAUGCCUAGGCACUAAGAGGCGAUGAAGGACGUGGUAAGCUGCGAUAAGCUUCGGUAAGCUGCAUACAAGCGUUAUAACCGGAGAUUUCCGAAUGGGACAACCUAAUACAUUGAAGAUGUAUUACUCAGCAAUGAGAGCUAACGCAGGGAACUGAAACAUCUAAGUACCUGCAGGAAAAGAAAAUAACAAAUGAUUCCCCAAGUAGUGGCGAGCGAACAGGGAAGAGCCCAAACCGACGGGGCGUGCUCCGUCGGGGUUGUAGGACUGCAUUUAGAAAGUAUCAUCAAAACGAAUCAUCUGGAAAGAUGAGCCAAAGGAGGUGAAAGCCCUGUAGUUGGAAAUUGAUAUGGACGAGCAGUAUCCUGAGUAGCGCGGGACCGGAGGAAUCCUGCGUGAACCAGCCGGCACCAUCCGGUAAGGCUAAAUACUCCUUAGUGACCGAUAGUGAACCAGUACCGUAAGGGAAAGGUGAAAAGUACUCCGAACAGGAGAGUGAAAUAGUACCUGAAACCGUACGCUUACAAGCGGUCGGAGCCCUUUGGGGUGACGGCGUGCCUUUUGCAUAAUGAACCUACGAGUUGCUCCUCACUGGCGAGGUUAAGUUCUUCGAGUAACGGAGCCGCAGCGAAAGCGAGUCCGAACAGGGCGAAAAUAGUCAGUGGGGGCAGACGCGAAACUUUGUGAUCUAUCCAUGGGCAGGCUGAAGGUUAGGUAAAACUAACUGGAGGGCCGAACUCGUAAACGUUGAAAAGUUUUGAGAUGACCUGUGGAUAGGGGUGAAAGGCCAAUCAAACUGAGAGAUAGCUCGUUCUCCCCGAAAUGUUUUUAGGAACAGCGUCAUAU
rnacentral:rRNA from 1 species